GAGGCUUCCCGCGCCGCCGGGGCCGGGCUGGGCUGGGCGCCGCCGCGGCAGCUGCGGGGCCGGGAGGCGGCCGGGAGGGAGGCAGGGCCCAGCACGCAAGGUGGCGGCAAGUCGCGUUCGGCCCCAGGAAGCUUCAGACAAGAAUUUAAAAUCGUUGCUUAGACAUUGUGUUAAGUGCCUGCAUCUCAAAUCAGAACAGCCCUAUAAGAUCUUUCCUGGGGCUGUGGGGUCACCUUCUCUUCCUCCCUCCUGCCACCCCA